AUAUCAGUCAUGCAUAGCAUAUCAAUAAGCGGAGGAAAAGAAACUAACAAGGAUUCCCCUAGUAACGGCGAGUGAAGCGGGAAGAGCUCAAAUUUGAAAUCUUAAAGGGUUUCCCUUUACGAAUUGUAGUUUAAAGAAGUGUUUUCUGUUGAGGUUUUGGUAAAAGUUCUUUGGAAUAGGACAUCAUAGAGGGUGAGAAUCCCGUAUUUGACCUUUACUUUCAACUUUGUGAUACACUUUCAAAGAGUCGGAUUGUUUGGGAAUGCAGUCCAAAAUGGGUGGUAAAUUUCAUCUAAAGCUAAAUAUUGGCGAGAGACCGAUAGCGAACAAGUACCGUGAGGGAAAGAUGAAAAGAACUUUGAAAAGAGAGUUAAACAGUACGUGAAAUUGUCAAAAGGGAAGCGUUUGACACCAGUGUUGUUUUUCCGAAAAUCAAUUAGAGAACUGUUUAUGCUAAGUUGUUUAGACUUUAUCAGCUAACUGUUUAGUUUUGAGCUUUUCUUUAAUGCACUUUUCAGUUAACAAGUCAACAUCAAUUUCUUUUGCUGUAAAAAAGCUUGAGGAAGGUGGCUUGAGAUUCGUCUUAAGUGUUUAUAGCCUCUUGCCUAUGCAGUCGGAGAGAUUGAGGUCUGCAGCGUAGAUCCUUCGGGGCUAAAUGCAUUUGUGCUAAGUUAUAGCAUUUUAUAGACAACUUGUUGACUAUGAUUUGUCUUGUAGCUUACUCGCUUAUGUUAUUUUACCUACGCUUAGGAUGUUGACGCGCGUGUGUGCGUG
rnacentral:rRNA from 1 species